rnacentral:misc_RNA from 1 species
AAUGCUCCAUAUGUGGUGACACAAGCUCCGGACAAACCCAUGCAAGUCUUCCGAGGGUGAUUGCGCUAUUCUCUAUCAGUGACUUGUUGAGACCCUCAGCAUGUUGAAGGAUUGGUACUAAGCAUGAGACUACAGUCAGGACUACUGGAGAUAUCUCUUUUUGGACCUUGAUUGCUAAUUCUCCAAUUGCCCAACAUGCAUUGUUGGCCACAGAGAUGGUUUCCUUCAGCUUGGAAGUGUUUUGCAGUUGCUUAGUAGCAGCAUCAAGAAAUUCAACCAACCGAGGUCGCAGAUGAACAGGACAAACCCUCGCAAGAUCACCAAGCAAAGCAAAAGCACUCUGCCGCACAUCAGGUGCAUCAUCCAAGCAACAUUGAAGCAACAAAUCCCUUAAAUUACUUUGUGAAACCAAACUCUCAACACCACUGCCAAGACCUUCAGCAAGUCCAGACAGCAGGUCCAAGCAGCAAACAAUGAAUUCUCGGUCAUAUUGGAGUCCAGCUUUAACAGGAUCAACCUUUGCCAUUAGUUGUGACUGGAUGAUGGUAAUGCACCUCUGAAAUACCGGUUGAGCAAAUUGUGCAAAUCCAGUACCCAAAGCCUGAGCAAUUGAGGUAAAGCACUCGAGCAGUGGGAAAAGAUCCUUGUCUGAAUUUGGGAGUUGCUCCCACUUUCCAAUUAAUGGGGGCAUUAAAAUCUCAAGAUACUUGGGCUGAUUAAGUUCCCCUCCAACUGCAUCAGCCAACGUUCCAAUGGCAUCAUACACUAUUCUAAGGUUCCGUCUCUGGUAUUUUCCAAAAGCACACAUCAAGUGUUGCAAAAUGAUUUCCAAGCAUGGCGCUAACUCUUCCGCAGCUUCCUCUUCAAGAGUAGCAAAGGCUGAACAAGCAGCUUCUUGCACUCGUUUAUUAUCAUCCAAUACUCUCCGUAGAAGACCCAUUAAAAUUUUGUUGAACUGUUCACGCCCUUCUUGAUGAUCAGUGCCCUGAACAAUAUAUUUGCUGAAGCGGGACAGCGUCCAACAGGAAAUGCUUCGUAUUAGAGGAAACUUGUCAUCUAAAAGUGGGAUGAGAAAGCUAAUGAUCUCCGAUAAAUGAGGGAAAAGUCCAUUUAUGCAGCCCUCGGCGAUAGCACCCAGAACUAGCACAGCUGCUUCCCUUUCCUUCCAGACUUCAUCAUUCGAACAUGACAAUUUAGCCUGAACGACAGGCAUCAAAGUGGGUAGAAUAUCAUCACCAAACACAUUAGAGAGAAUAUCCAGAGCAGCUGCACUACACUUACGUAAAUUCCACACAUUUACAAUGUCUUGAUCAUCGUCUUCACCAUCCUCGGAACCAUGAAAACGUGAAGAAUGAAAUCGAGGUUUGAUGUCCUGAUCACGAUCUGGCAGAGAUCCAUCCUCCUCAGCCUCCAAAAGUGACUCAUCGUCAUCAGCAUAAACCAUGUUAGACAGCAAAACCGGAAUCAAUCGUGGUAAGAAUUCUCUCAAGUUCUCAGGU